CACCGGCGGGCGGCACACAAGGUGGUUCUUAAGCUCAACUUCGCCAAAGCUUUCGACUCCAUCAACUAGGAGAGCCUGGGAACGAUCAUGGAGGUGCGGGGGUUCCCGUCUCGGUGGUGCGACUGGAUUGAUGCUCUCUUUCACUCCUCCCGCUCGGCCGUUCUGCUCAAUGGCGUGCCGGGGAGAUGGUUCCAGGUGAAAUGCGGGCUCUGGCAGGGGGAUCCCAUUUCCCCCUACCUGUUCCUCAUCGUUGUCAAUGUCCUCCAGCAGCUCAUACGUCAGGCUGAUGUGUUGCGACACCCCCUGCUACCUGAGGCACCGGCGGUUGUGCUUCAGUAUGCCGACGACACGCUGAUCAUCAUGCGUGCGUGCGCGGAUGGUGCCUCCCGCCUCUGGCGAAUCCUCGACCAGUUCUCUGACGCCACGGGGCUGGUGAUCAACUUCUCCAAAAGUACCUUGGUGCCGGUUCAUACGGAGGGCGAGGUGCUAGCGCGGGUGGUGACCGCCCUUGGCAGUGCCACGGGAGCGUUCCCGCAGACUUACCUCGGCCUCCCGCUGUCAUGGGAAAAGCCACGAUUCGCGGAUUUCCUGCCCAUGAUUGCAAAGGUGGACAAGUACCUCGCAGGGUGGGUGGCGUGCCUGCUCUCCUGUCGGCCGUCUGGUUCUCAUCAAUGCUGUCUUGGACGCGUUGCCCACCUACACCAUGGUGGCCCUAGUCCUUCCACUGUCUGUGGUUCACACUCUGGACGCCCUGCGCCGCUCCUUCCUCUAGAACAUGGCCGAGCGGGCCACAGGGGCUCAAUGCAUGGUCGCAUGUGA
rnacentral:rRNA from 1 species